rfam:Glycine max cultivar Williams 82 chromosome 3, whole genome shotgun sequence.
UUUCACGACGAUGAUGAUAAAUGUGAUCCCAGCUCAUUAUGAGACCCUUCGCCAUUUGAAAGGUCUGGGAAUAUAAUUUUUUCCACAUUUGUCUGAGCCUCAAC